rnacentral:rRNA from 1 species
ACGAACGCUGGCGGCGUGCUUAACACAUGCAAGUCGCACUGAAAGGCCCUGCUUUUGUGGGGUGCUCGAGUGGCGAACGGGUGAGUAACACGUGAGUAACCUGCCCUUGACUUUGGGAUAACUUCAGGAAACUGGGGCUAAUACCGGAUAGGAGCCCCUGCUGCAUGGUGGGGGUUGGAAAGUUUCGGCGGUUGGGGAUGGACUCGCGGCUUAUCAGCUUGUUGGUGGGGUAGUGGCUUACCAAGGCUUUGACGGGUAGCCGGCCUGAGAGGGUGACCGGCCACAUUGGGACUGAGAUACGGCCCAGACUCCUACGGGAGGCAGCAGUGGGGAAUAUUGCACAAUGGGCGGAAGCCUGAUGCAGCAACGCCGCGUGCGGGAUGACGGCCUUCGGGUUGUAAACCGCUUUCGCCUGUGACGAAGCGUGAGUGACGGUAAUGGGUAAAGAAGCACCGGCUAACUACGU